AAACGUCAUCACACAUCAGAUGAAGCUCUGAGGAAGACUGCUGAUGUGGUUGAAACAUGUCAGCAAGCUGCUCCUGAUGCUCCAGCCUUCUCCUCCUCUGUCCUGCUUUCUGCUGCCUCAUCACUUCUGAGGCUGCACUUCUUAGGAUCCUGUCAACAGUGCUUUGGCGCUAGAACUGAUGGGAGUGCCGCGUUCUCCACCGGUCGGAGCAUCAGUCAUCUGAACACUUCGCCGCAGGAAGGAAAUCGAUCUCCUGCCAAGUUCGGGGGAGAGCGAGAGGUGCCAGAGAGGCUGGCCCAGGAUGAAGGAGACUGAUGACUGCAGCCUCAACACCAGCACAGAGCAGAUGAUGCUGCAUGAAAUGGACUGCUUCUCAUAAGCCUGUGACAACUUUGUCCUUACAGUUAGUGCCAAAAAGACUGAAGUCAUGUACCAACCUGCACCUGGAAUGCCCUACAAGGAACCAUACAUCACGGUCACGGGGCAGAACCUACAGGUUGUCGACAAAUUCAUCAAGGACAACAGGAAUGCCAAGGCCAGUGCUGCCUUUGGAAGACUCCGUGAGGACGUCUGGUAGCUGAGAGACCUCAGCCUUUCCACCAAGCUGAAGGUCUACCUCGCAGUGGUACUCACCAUCCUCCUCUACGCCAGCGAGACCUGGACUGUCUACAGCAGACAUGCCAAACAGCUCAAACACUUUCACUUGAGCUGUCUCUGCAGACUCCUCUGUUUUAGGUGGCAGGACAAAAUCCCAGAUACGGAGGUCCUGGAACAGAUCAGCAUUCCCAGUGGCUACACCCUCCUCCAGAAAGCUCCAGCCAGAUGUGCAGGCCAUGUUGGAAGAAUGUCUGACAGCUGACAGCCAAAACAGCUGCUGUACUGCAGACCGUCUCAGGGCAAGUGGACAGUCAGGGGACAGAAGGACAGAGACCUAGACAUCAACCCCAGUGCAUGGAAAUCGCUUGCCCGGGACCAUCUAACAUGGUGAGGCAGAGUCACGACAGCAGAGAGCAGACAGACUGUAAAGGCCAGAGAAACCUCGACCUCCACAGCAGCAUCCACUCAUCUUCAGACCCAUCACAGAUCUUCACACGGAUGUUGGAGUCGUGGCGUUCUUAGAGGACAAACAUCAAAGCUUUGACUGGUGAAGGACAGAUGCCUGGAUGAACAGUCUCUCCGCUGAAGCUCCUAACUCCUUCAGAUGACGCUUUCUAGGUAGAUCUGUGCCACUUUCCUUCCAUUUCUUAAUGAUGAAUUUAGCUGUACUUCAAGAGACAUUCAGUACAUCAGAAGCUGUGCUGUAUCCAUCCCUGGGCAUUUGCUUUUUAAUAACUUUUCAGUGAGACGCCUGGAGUGUUGAUUUAUCUUCAGGGUGUAUUUAUAGCCAUGAGUACCGAUUCCUAAGUGACCAGACCUUCCAGCUACAGGUGUCUUUAUACUACAAUCACGUUCACUAAUUGUGUGACUUCUAGCACUAGUUAGCUGUACCUGAAUCACUUUAAAGGGAGUGAAUAUUUAUGUAAUCAAAUUUUCAUUUGAUUGACAUUAUUUUGUAGAAAUCUGUUUUCGUUUUGCAGUAAAAGAGUAAUUUUGGCUGUAAAUUAUUGUCAGAAAAUUAAUUUAAUUGACUGUGAUUCAGUGUUGAAAAGCAAUAAAAUGGGAAAACUUCCUGUGAAUGUUUUUUUUAUGCACCAUAUGGGUCAAAAGCCAAAAUACCUUCAGUCUACAGCCAGUACUUUUGUAUUCACAGCAGCAAGUUGUCAGACAUCAGGAAUAUAUCCACAGCAACAUGCAGAUUUGGUUUCACCUCACCUUGUCAUCAUACAGCUAAUAGUUUAUCCGCCAGAAACAGUGUAAAUAAUGAACUGGACCUGCUCUGUGCCACAACUUUGGUCCUAAAGUAUUGAACACAUAAUGACCGGAUGGGAUUGUCUACAGUAAUUGUGUCCAAUGAUGUUCCACGGCGUGCCAAGACUUUGCAGAAUUUCAUCCCAACCAAACAUUGAAGCAGCUGAUUACACUGAUAAGUACCUUUAACCAGAGAGGAGGCUGUAAUCACUGGAAUCACCUGCUGCUGUGUUUGCUUGGAAUUAAAUCCUGCCUGCUCUUGGGCCUGCGUGACAUAUGGCAGGACACCACUGCGCUACAAUUUCUGGAAAUCCGUCCAGGCAUCAGCUCGGCUUUCCAAAAUGUUAAACAAAUUUCAGAACCCCAAAAAUGAGCUUUACAGAGUAGAGGGUACAUGCUGCUGAUGGGAAACAAAGUCAGAACACCAAUGGAGAAGAAUUUAAGAUUUUAUAUUAUUUAUUUAUUCUUUAUUUUAUCAAGUAAAAUCAGUUGAGAACAAUUUCUCAUUUACAAUGAUGACCUGACAAGAGGCCCCAGAGGAAGAAAGACAACAGAUAUUACAUAUACUUUUAAACUUUUAAGGAAUUAUUGUAAUUUUCUUCCUGAAGGUUUUGCAAAUUUUCAGAACUUUGGGGAAUUUUUUUGCACAAUUUUUGGAUUUUUUUCAGACAAGGAAACAAUAUUUUUUGGUGCCCAUAAAUGAGAACAACAUGAGGGUUAAAGACACAUCAUAAACAUUUGGCUAUAACAUCUGGAAUUGACAGCAUGCUAUUUUAGAUUAGAAAACUCCACAGAUCGCUAAGUGCUAAAGUGCCUGUGUAUAUAUUGCACUAAUCUUUAGCAUCGGAGUUCAGCAGCUCAAUGCAGGCUGGAACCAACAAUAGCUUCAAGUGGUUCGAUUUGCACUCUGGCACUCCGAGUCUUCUUCCUGAUGGUACGUAUUCAGAGAAGAGGGGAUGUUGGAUUGAUUAAAUGGCAGAUUAGGCAAGGCAAGGAGAAAUUAUUUGUAUAGCACAUUUAACUUACUCCCUUUAAACUUGAAGAAGCUGCUGACAGAAUGAGACUCAGGGCAGCCAUCUGCCUCGAAUGGAUGGGAGUGAGAAAAGAUUGAGAAACAAGAAAUAAUAAGCACUGAGUAGGAUGGUGAGGAAAGGAGCCACAGAUCAGAAACAUGCUGCUACAGAGCCGGAGAUACCUGCAGAAAGGUACAAGGAGAAAGAGGACAGAAAGGACAGGGAAAGAGGAAAAAGGACAAACUGCAGGAGUAAAUGCAGUUAAUGUCUUCUCUGGAAUUUUUACACUUUGAGGGCCGGAUUGAACCCUCUGGAGGACCGGUUUAGGCCCGCGGGCCGCAUGUUGGACACCCCUGCUUUAAGCUAUCACCUAACAACAAAGAGCAACUUGUAGUGCAGUUGCUUUCAGUGUUUGUGUGUCCAUCUGCAGAAUGAGAAAUUUUCUAACAGAAAAUUGCUUCUACAUUUUCCAUUCUUUUGGGUUUUUAUCACAUCCUGAGGCAUUACACGUCUUUCAGGACCUGCUAAUUGAUUGUAUUUUGUCAAAUAUGAACAGGACCCUUUAUUUCAGGUUAAAAUAAAACCCUGUCGAGUGCCAUGUACUCAGUGUCUGCAGGUGUGUUCCCUUCCAGCAGCACCUUUUCACAGGUUCUUCCAACACGCUGAAAAUCUCUGACAUUAGCCAGAGAACUUUAUUUUAUUUUAAAGUUAAUGAAAAUGUACUUUUGCAGUCUGUCUCGGGUGUAUUUCAGUAACCAAGGUGAAGGAGGUUUCUGCUUUAGUGAGUCGAGUGUUUCCCACGGUUAAUCUGUUUAUAAAUACAGAAAGCUCUAUGUGUUUUUAUGCAGAGUGACUUUCCUCAGUGAAGCUCUGGCAGGGAGGGACAGCUGUGGUAGAAUUCUGUAUUUUAUCCAGAAACACUGUAUGCCCUUGUGGUGUGUGGUGAGAGAUCAAAAAAGAACAAAGGAUGAAGGUCAGAGAAGCAUCUACAGGAAGGUGCUGCUGCUGCUGCACAAAAAUGGAUUUUUCUUUAAGUGCUGCAGUAGGUAAGAGUUACACAGAGUGCUUGAGAAUUUACUGGACUAAAAGAAGAUGCUAUGGUUUAUUUCUGACAGCUUAAAGUAGGACACACUGUGUGGCUAAAAGUCUUAAUAUUCAAAAAAAUGUGUUGUGUAAUAGCAUUUAUUGUCAGGUUAUGACAGGGGAGUCAAACUCAUCUUAGUUCAGGUUCCACAUUCAGCUCAAUUUGAUCUGAAGUGUUCAGGACCAGUAAAAUCACAGCAUAAUAACCUAUAAAUAACCACAACUUUCUUUGUUUUAGUGCAAAAAUGAACAACCUGAAAUUUCUCAAGAAAAAUAAGUUCAGCAACAUUCAGCCUCAGUUUAUCAUUUCCACAUUACAACUUCCAGAUCACAGAGUGUCUACAAAGGAACACAACAUUUAGUCACCUGGAACUGAACCAUAGAGGAUUUACUUUAUGAUCAAAACAACAAAAGUCAGAGAAAAAAAAGACAAAAAACAACAAAAACAAGACAAAAUAUUCCAAAAAUCAGAUGCAAGAUGACAAAAACGAGAAACAAAAUGACAAAAAAUAAGACAAAAAAUUUGACAAAAAAGUUACAAAGCGACCAAAAAUUGAGAAAUGACAAUAACAAGACAAAAAUUACACAAAAUGGCACAAACGAGACAAAAAAAAUGACAAAAAUGAGCAACAAAUUGACAAAAAAGUAGACAAAUAACACAAGUGAGACAAAAAGGACAAAAAUGAUAAAUAAAACAACAAUAAAGCAAAGCAUAAAAUGACAAAAAUAAGACAAAAAAACACAAGCGAGACAAAAGAGAAACACAAAACAACAAAAACUAGAAACAAAAUGACAAAAAUGAGACACAAAACAACAAAAGCAAGAACACAAGACAAAAGACAGGAAACAAAAGAAAAAAGAGACAAAAAAUUAGACAAAAAAGUUACAAAGUGACAAAAAAAUGGAUAAAUGACAAAACUACUACACUUUACAAAGUCAACUUAAGGGUCGGAUUGGACCCUCUGGUUGGCCACUUUCGGCCCAUGGGCCACAUGUUUGACACCCCUGGUUUAUAUGUUUUAUUUGCAGAAAGAAGAAAUGCCUUUACUGAUGGGGAAAGGGAAACUAGUCAUUAACCCUCUGGAUGGACUGAAAACAGCCUGCCAUGUUUCGUCUGUAGUCUGUGAAUCUGAAUAUUCUCGUCACAUUUCUCUCUCUCUGCUCUGAGUAAUUUCACAGACAAAUGACUGAGCCUCCACUCCAGUUUUCCCCAUUCCGCUGUGGUUUAUCAGACUGAGUGUAGUUUAAUUCAUUAUUGUAAAGUCCAGCCAGUUAAUUUAACUCGAGCAGUUAAGUCCAUGCAGAGAGGUGGGUCUAAUUGUUGGUCUCAACCAGAGCCACCACAGGAUCUCAGCAGGAGGAGGAGACGGGCCAGAAGCUCCCACAGAGAACCCGCUGGUGUCUUCAGCCGCGACAAAGCAACAAUUAGCAACAAUUAGCAAUUAGUCUCAGCUGCUAAAGUGAAACCAACAGCUCCUGUCUGCAGGGAUUAGCUCCAUUGUUUGGAGUCCAGAGCGAUGAGGGAAGAUUUUAGCUCAUACAGGAGUGUGGCAGGAACACAAUGAGCAAAUAAAUGAGCUAAAAUGCAGACAACAAACAGCCAGAAUGUGAGGUUUUUCAUCUGGAAUAAAAACAAAGUUGCUGCACUCAGAAAGCUGCUUCCACAUCAUAUCAGCAGACACCAUGUUUUACGUGAUAUCAACUAAAUGUCUUUAAUACAGGAGUGUCAAACUCAUCUUCUUUCAUUUUACCCUAACCCUAAAUUUUCUAAGAAAAAUAAAUUCAUUUAUGAUCAAAACAACAAGUGAGAUUAAAAAAAAGACAAAACACAACAAAAACAAGACAAAAUAUUACAAACACGGGACACAAAAUAACAAAAACGAGACAGAAGACAGCAAAAAAUGAGGCAACACGAAAUAAAACAACAAAAGACAAAAAUUAGAUAAAAUAGUUACAAAACGACCAAAAAACAGACGAGCAACACAAGCAAGACAAAAAAAAUACAGAACGACAAAAACGAUAAACAAAACAAUGAAUAAAGUGAAACAUAAAAUGACAAAAAUAAGACAAUAAACACAAGUGAGAUAAAAAGGAAACACAAAGCAAUAAAAAUGAGAAAAAACAACAAAAGCUUGAGACAAAUGGCAAAGUCAAACAACAAAAACAAGACAAAAUAUUACAAAAACAAGACACAAAAUAACAAAAACGACACAGAAAAUGGCAAAAAAUGAGGCAAGCAACACGAAAUAAAACAACAAAAGACAAAAAUUAGAUAAAAUAGUUACAAAACGACCAAAAAACAGACAAGCAACACAAGCAAGACAAAAGAAAUACAGAACAACAAAAACUUGAGACAAACGACAAAAAGUCAGACAAAAACAACAAAAACAAGACAAAAUAUUACAAAACGAGACAAAAUAUGAAAAAGGACACAGAAAAUGGCAGAAAAUGAGGCAAACAACAUGAAAUUAAGCAAAAAAGAGACAAAAAUUAGACUUAAAAAAAUUACAAAAUGACCAAAACACAAACAACACAAGCGAGACAAACUCCCCACCAUAAAACAACAAAAACAAUACACAAAACAACGAAUAAAGCGAAACACAAAAUGACAAAAAUAAGAUAAAAAAACACAAGCGAGACAAAAAAGGAAACACCAAACAAUAAAAACAAGAAACAAAACAACAAAAGCAUGAGACAAAUGACAACAAAUCAGACAAAAAACAACAAAAACGAGAUUACAAAAACAAAACACAAAAUGACAAAAAAUGAGGUCAACGACACAAAACAAAACAAAAAGAGACAAAAAUUAGAUUAAAAAGUUACAAAACGACCAAAACAUGAGACAAACGACAAGAAGUCAGACGACAAACAACAAAAACAAGACAAAAUAUUACAAAAAUAAGACACAAAACGACAAAAAAAAACCAAUGAACAAUGUAAUAUUUUACUUUAUGAUCAAAACAACUUGUCGUGAUCUAGAAAUUAUUUUAAAUUUAUAGUUUUACUAAUUUACAAUCUGCAGUUAAUGUCUUCUCUGUAAUUUUUACACUUUGAGGACCGGAUUGGACCCUCUGGAGGGCCGGUUUUGGCCCACGGGCCGCAUGUUGGACACCCCUGCUUUAAUAUUUCCUAAUCCUUACAAUAAUCAAUGUUCAUUUACAACAAACAUGAUUUUAGAAAUUCUCCCUCUUUGUCAGUUUUCACCUGUGGCAGUCAUUAAGGCUCAUGUGGCACUUUGAAAACCAAUUAACUUAAUGAUGUAAUAUUAGAAUUGCUUCUGACAGCCGUAAAUAGCAAGUAGCAGCAUUCCCAAGAUUGAAAGGACAUUCUGAUUUAUAAUGCAGAAUUCCACAGAAAUAAAGCAGCUCCGUGUUGCUAUUUCUGUGUCUGUAACCUACUUUAAAUGUAUGACAGUGAGAGAAAUAACUUCGCUAAUCCCUGCUGGGAGAUUGUUCUGUAACAGUUGCUGGAGAUUGUCAAAGUUGUACGAUUAUAGGAGAGAGGAGAGAGCGCUGGGCUGCACAGAGACGCUGACAUUAUGACACAUGACAGGAUCUAAUAAAGAAUGAUCUAAAAACUAGCUGGAGAUCAAUACGUAAACACAACCGAGGCCCCUCAGAGGUUCUGACUGCGUCUGUUCAGGCUGAAGACUCGAUAAUGAAGCAAAUUUAGAGUAACGCUGAAGCAGGGAGGCAGAUCAGUGGGAUGUGGAGUUUGUGCUGUUGAAUAAGAGCUCACAGGUGCUUUCACAAAGAAGCGUCUGGUGUUCAAACAGUCCCUGUGAAGGAAUAAUGCAACAGCCACCAGUCUCUUUUCUGUCUGCAGCAUUCUGAAAAACACAACGCUUUCAUCCUUUACAUUGAAGGAAAUAAGUGAGCUGCUGGUUUCUACUUCUUGAGAGAUUGAAACAGUCACUGGAGUGUAAAAAUCUGAUAUUUCAAUAACAGCGACACUCAGCUGAACUCAUUGGAUAUCCUUAAUAUCGUGGAUGUACUGAUACAAAUGAUUCCUUUAGUGCAAAAAAAGUACAAAAAAAUGCAAAAAAAAAGUACAUGCUGGAAAUGUGCACAAUUCAGGAGUUAUCUAUUUACAAAAAAUUAUGAACAACCUGAAAUUUCUGAAGAAAAAUAAAUUUAAUUUCAACAACAUUCAGCCUCAGUUUAUCAUUUCCACAUUACAACUUCCACAUCACAGAGUGUCUACAAAGGAACACAACAUUUAGUCACAGCUACCUGGAACUGAACCAUAGAGGAUUUUACUAAAGACAAAAAAGACAAAAAAAAACCCCGAGUAAAAACAAGGCAAAAUCUGACAAAAACGAGACACAAAACGAUAAAAAAAUUUGACAAAAAAGUUUUAAAGUGAAAAAAAAUGAACAAAUGACAAAAAUAAGAAAAAAAUGACAAAAGCGAUAAACAAAACGACAAAAACAUUGACUAACAACACAAGCAAGACAAAAAAGACACAAAAUGACACAAGACAAUGAAUAUAGUGAGACACAAAAUGACAAAUAAGACAAAAAACAAACGAGACAAAAAGGAAACAAAAAACGACAAAAACGAUAAACAAAAUGACAAAACCAUGAGACAAGCGACAAAAGUCAGAUAAAAAGACAAAAAACAUAAAAAAACAAGGUAAUACUACAAAAACAAGACACAAAACAACAAAAGCGAGAAGCAAAACAAUAAAAAAUGAGACAAAUGACACAAAACAAAAAAGAGAAAAAAUUUUGACAAAAAAGUGAUAAAGUGAAAAAAAUGGGCAAAUGACAAAAAUAAGACAAAAAAUGACAAAAGCAAGAAACAAACCAACAAAAACAUGAGACAAACAAAAGUCAGACAAAAAACAACAAAAACAAAAUAAAUUACAAAAAUGAGACACAACAUGACAAAAAUGAGACAAACAAAACAAGACAAAAAAAUUUGACAAAAAAGUUACAAAGUGACAAAAAAUGGACACAAGAAAAAAAUGACAAAAAAGAAAAAAACGACAAAAAAUAUACAAAAAACACAAGCAAGACAAAAAAGAAACACAAAAAGACAAAACGCUAGAAACAAAUAAAGCAAAACACAAAAUAGACAUAAACAUAAGCGAGACAAAAAGGAAACAAAAAACAAAAACGAGAAACAAAAUGACAACAACAUGAGACAAAUGACAAAAGUCAGACUAAAAGGAAACAAAAAACAACAAAAACAAGACAAAAUAUUACAAAAAUGAGACGCAAAACAACAAAAGAACAAUGAACAAUCUAGUAUUUUACUUCAUGAUCAAAACAACUUGUCAUGGUCUAGAAAUGAUUUUAAAUUUAUAGUUUUACUAAUUUACAAUCUGCAGUUAAUGUCUUCUCUGGAAUUUUUACACUUUGAAGGGCAGGAUUGGACCCUCUGAAGGGCCGCUUCUGGCCCGUGGGCCACAUGUUGGACACCCCUGGUCUAUACUGUUUGCCGUGGUUGACAAGUCCUUCGACGGUUAUAAUUGGGUAGAAAAAGCAACCUUGGCUCUCUGUGCUGAGAGUCAGGAUCAAGAAAGAAUUCAUUGUCCCCCUCUAACCGUCUUUUAUUUUCCUCUCACUGCCUCUAAUUAGGCGGCUGCUGACAUAUUUGUGUUGCGUUUGUGUUGCAGUCUGCAGCCUGUCCGUUCGCUCUGUGUGUGUGGGCAAAGUCUGGAUCGUGGGUGACGUGGAGUGCUUUUAUUAUAGGGGAUCGCAGACUGUAGUGUUGACAAGCCGGCUAAUUAGCUGCUCGGCUAAUGAAUGUGUCGCUAAUGAGGCUGCGCUGGCGGUGGCACCGUGUUUUCAGCAACACAACUUCGACAAACAUUCAAAAUAUUGGCAGAGAGGAGGGGGGGAAAAAAGAAGCUUGACAGUGCAAAGUAAUUCGAGUUUGUAUAACGACAUGCCACAGGUGCAGCACAGCAGGGUGGAUUGUUUUAUGAAUUUGUGGUUCUUAAAAAUACUAAAGUUGUGCCUCGUCUGAUAAGACAUAAUAAUGGAGUGUCAGUAACAGCAAAUGCGCUGGUUGUGGAACAUGCAAAGUCAUGAUGUGACGAUAUGAUGAUGCCUUUGGGAUCUGAUUGGCCACCCCGUGUGCCCCCCCAAAAUUUUCGUUGGAAAUUUACAUUACUGAAACUCCGAUUUCCGACGCUCCUGAACGCAACUUCGUUAUCCCACUGCAACUGAAUGCACCAAUGACGUUAGUUUGAUCUUUUGGUUGUAUUUCGUUUGAUUUGAAGAAGCUUUGAAGACGUUUCCUGAUGCCGGAAGAGAAGACGAGCAGCUUUGUACCUUUGCGGUCCCUCUCUAUCUCCCCACACAUCCACCAACCACUGGAACACAUCUCCAAAGUUCUGCCGGGCCAGCUAAGCUUCCCCUCAGAAGAAGUGCCGCCACCUGCCAGAUGAAGGAGCCUUUUGAGAGGCAGCUGGCAUCAUGAUUGGACUGUACUUUGGUCUGUUCCAGUCCAGCUUCAGCUCCAGAGACGGCAGGCGGGACGAGUCAACGGAGGCCUGGUGGACGAAGGCAUGCAGCUGAGUACAAUCCAGAAAACAACAGAGGAGGAGUGCAGCAGCCCAGAGCCAGAACAACCAGAGUAGCAUGACCAAAGAACUACAGACUCUUCACAACCUGCUCAAACUCUUGGUACAGGACCUCACCACACGGGUCAAGAAGGUUUCCUUCUCAUUUCUACUCUGAAGCUCACCUUCUCCUGCUCAAACUGCUGACAAAUGUUUCUGCUGCUCUAAAGUCUGCUCUCCAGAUCUUCCUAAAAACUCUCAAAGUCUCUUCUGCUGCAGGUUGCUUUGUAGAACUGCUCCAGAAAACCUCACUAAACCACAUGGAGGGACCUCAAGAUAGUCGUCCUAAUGAAACCGUACAAAAACCAAACUAGCACAACCCAAACGCUAAAUUCUCCUGCAGCCUACCAGAGAAGCUCUGAGAACAGAGAAUCAGGACAGGGACUCUUACCUUCUGGACAACCAACGCUGGUUCACAAACAAGAAUACAGAAUGUGUCUGACCAGAAACCUCUAAAGACUCACUACAGCCAAGAUAAAGACACAACUCACCUGCACCAAAUCCACUAAUCACAGCACACAUUAGCACUAUGUGCUAACUGUGGCUAAAGAACCACAUUUACCAAGACAACUAUCCAGUACAAAGCCCUAAAACACACCAAGAAACACAUUAAAGCUGAUUUUACUGCUGGAAGCUGCAAGCCAACGCCUAAAGCACAAAUUAAAGCAACGGAGUCAAACCCAGUUCAGUGGUGAAGAGAAGCAGAGGAAAUGUUUGUCUGCAGCUAGAUAAAGCAGGAAGACACUGAGCUGCUCAGGUGUUCCUGAUAACACCAAGCAGCCACCUGGACAGCCAAUAGGAACACAGCUUCCUGGAAGUCCAGAGGGCUGGCUUAGUGAAGGAAAUUUAGUUUAAAGUUGAAGCAGAAAGUUAAUAAAGAAAGUUGAAAACCACCUUCUGAUCCCUGAAAUCUCUGAG